rnacentral:sRNA from 1 species
GUCAGAAAAUAAUAAUGAAAAUGAAGUGAAUAACAUAAUGAUUACAAUGUUGCAUGAAAAGAAGCACUAUAAUAGAUUUAAAUAACUAGAGUUCAAGUAUCCAACCCAGGAGAGCUUCUCCCUGCACCUCACCCAUGUCAGGCUGCACCUCCAAACUUUUACAAAGCUUCCAUGUUUGCCCCUGUCAGAAUUUGAAGAAAGAAUCUUUUACUGGCUGAGAUUUUGUUCCCAAACGUAACCCUACACCACCCUUUCUUGCUCGACCGCAGCCCACCCUUCGCGCUCUCCCUAUUCGCUCAACCGCAGUUCACCCUCUGCGUUCUCCUCUCGUAGUGGUGGUGAGGGUCUUUUCGGUGUGGUGCUUCUUCCUCCCUCUGUCUCGUCUUCGGUUGGCUUGGCAUCCAAGUUGAUUAUUCUUUCCUCACCCUCAAUGCAUGCUUUGAGUAUGAAAAUGAUUCCGGAGGCCUUAACCGCACUUCGAAGUGCGCUUAAGAUCCCGCCGUUCGAACUGCAGUUGAGAGGUUGUCACACUUCGAACGCCGGUUGUUGCUGAAGAGGGGUGGUGAAAGGGUAGGGUGCAUUUUUUUUGAGCGACUAUGUGAGCAACUUGAUGUGGCUGCAAAAGGAUUUAUAUUCUGAUCAAUGAUUUGGACACAAUGAGUAGGAUGGUGAAGAGAUUACAGGACAAGGUGGAGCAUAGGAAAGUGGUUGCUGAGGUUUGUGCGAGGAAUGGAAAAUGAGGGAUUCUAAAGCAGGUGAUGAGAGACAUAUCUACUUGUGUUUUCUCACAACAAGGGUGACGAUUUAGUGGGUUAGAAAUUGGCAUUGCAUAUUUCAGUUCUGGCAUAAAAAGAACCGCAGUUAGAAACGUGUGAUAUUCAACCGGCGUUGGAAGUGCGGCAAUCGACGUUCGAAUUGAGGUAGGGGCACAGAUGAAAAUUAAAUAAAAAUUAGAGGUGCAAGACGAAGCAGGUGAGGUGUAGGAAGAACCACUCCCAACCCAACUAUGCUUGGCUUCAAAGUUUUCCCAAGGAAAGAAAAAAAAAAUCAAAGUAAAAUAAAAAAGAAAAUAACUUGCCCUCAUUCUCAUAAUGAAAGUGUUGUUGAUAUUCUGAUUGGCUUUUAUUACAUAAUAAUAUAAUAAUGACAG